rnacentral:lncRNA from 1 species
CUCUUCCCGGCAUGGGUUUCUGCCCAGCUCACCCGCUGUCAGCUGGGGUCCUGCUCUGGUGGGAGGAAGAGGCUCAGACGCUUCCCUGCCCUCUCGCCUCAACCACCUCGAGGCAGCGGCUCCCAGGAUGUGCACUUUGACGACUAAAGCUGAGCCGGCGCCGCCACGACCUUGGGCGGGUGGUCGGCCUCUGCCCUGAGCAGGAAGUAGAAAGUCUCAGCAGACCCUUCCUGAGGGCCGAGCAACAGUGUAGUGGCGUAUUCCACAUAGCAAACAGGUGAAUUCCUUGGAAGAUGAGGGCCAAGUCUUAUUCUUCUCAGUCUCUUCUGCAUCUAGCAGAAGAAUAAUGGUUGCACAGAAAAUCUUGGUUCAGUGGUUGAGUGAAUGAAUGGAUGAACAGGCUCUUGCACACAAAGAAGAGACAUGAUGUAUUUGCAUCCUUCCCUGCUUCAGCCAGGUCCCCAGACAGUCCCGGUGUGCACACUUCCCUGCUUCUGUUCAUGAUGUUCUCUGAACCUGGGAUCACCUUUCCCCUUCCUCUUACCUGCCCGAUCCUACUUGUCCUCCCAGAUUCAGUUUUCUGAAGCUCAGAGGGACACCUUGUAUUGCUGGAUGAUAAAAACAGGAGCAAAGUGAUGAAGUGCUGACAAGGCAACAAUAGAACAUGAGAGAUUCACUGCUGUGUAGGAAGAGAUCUUCGGUGACCAUGUAGCCUGAAGCUCUCAUUUUGUCAUCGAGGGACACCAAAACUCAGAACAGCAGCAGCUCACGCUGCUGAUGCAACACAGGUGAAGAGCACCUUCCCCUCCCCCACCUGUGGGCUGAUUCCCACCACGUGGAUCCCAAGGCCAUCCCAGGAACUCUUUGGAGGGGAGAAGCCCAGUGGAAACUGUCAGGCCUCUGAGCACAAGCCAAGCCAUCGCAUCCCCUGUGACUUGCACGUAUAUGCCCAGAUGGCCUGAAGUAACUGAAGAAUCACAAAAGAAGUGAAAAGGCCCUGCCCCACCUUAACUGAUGACAUUCCACCAUUGUGAUUUGUUCCUGCCCCACCUUCACUGAGUGAUUAACCCUGUGAAUUUCCUUCUCCUGGCUCAGAAGCUCCCCCACUGAGCACCUUGUGACCCCCGCCCCUGCCCACCAGAGAACAACCCCCUUUGACUGUAAUUUUCCAUUACCUUCCCAAAUCCUAUAAAACGGCCCCACCCCUAUCUCCCUUCGCUGACUCUCUUUUCGGACUCAGCCCGCCUGCACCCAGGUGAAAUAAACAGCCAUGUUGCUCACA